AAAUAAUAUUUUAAAGAACAAUUAAGAGACUUUUAAAAAGUUAGUCCCAUAAGAGCCCGUAUAAAAGUAGCCUACAUAGUUACACACACUACCAGCGUUGCCAAUUUCAGCCAUUCCAGUUUUCGUCCCAUUCGCGCCCUCUCAUGUACGCCUACCAUAGACUCCUAUACCUUGCUAUUGUGAUCUACAAGGAUACAUUCGUCUGCUACUAUUUUCUGUUUCUUUUUAUAUUCAGUAAAUAUUUGAAUGUUUUAAAUUUAUGUUCAUUUAUUUAUUCCGUGUAUGCGAAAAGAAAAUUGCUGGUAACCUUAUUGGGUGGUUCCAAGUCAAGCCUACCCUCUUUGUCGUAGCGUUAGAUGGAACGGCUGUCGUGUCAAAUGUGAAAAACGUCGUAAGACAAAAGGUCAUAUAACGGAGCAAAGCCAUGCUCUUAGUGUAUUGACAGCAACCCACUGCAUUUCAUUUUCAUGUAAUGGCUAACUUUGAAAGAAAGAGGUUUCCAUGGUCCUUUGGCUUGUACAGAAACUACCUGUUGAAAAACUUUUAAAAGUAACUGCUGCUUAAUUUGAAAAAAAAAACUAUGCUGUUAAGCAACUCAUAGCAAUCGAGAAAACAUAACAAGAUUCCCAUUCAAAAUAUGUAAGUUAUAAAUCAUUUGAUGGACAGAAUAAUGCUAUGUAUAGACAUUUUUGCACAACACAUUUGAAAAGAUGUAGUUUGAUACUUUUUUUUGUAGAUUUUAAAUUCAAUGAUAUGAUGUGCUAUAUUAACCUGAGUUUCAUGUUGCUAAUCUUCUUGACGAUACGAUGCCAAAUCAAGUAACCAUUUGCAGUGGAAAUUCUCAGUUCUGGAUCAAAUUUGUUAAUUUAAAUCACAUUGAUGUUUUAUUGAAGGUUCCAAUCCUAUGGAAUUGUUAUACACCCAAACAGCUUAUUGAAGACCUGCAUUUAAGUGCCAGUAAAACUUCUAUUAUGAAAGUAGUUUUUUUGUGUGUAACCUUUCCAAUCAUAGGUUUACAGAUUUUGUCCAACGAAGAAUCUAAUUGAAGUAAAACUGUGGUUUAGAUUGCUUAACACAAGUCGGGACGACCUUAUAUAUGUUUGGCGAUCCCGAGUUGGGGCUAGUAGCUACCACUUAUUAUGAAAGCAGUGAAUCAUCGUGUACCAACCACUUACCUUGGAGCUGCAUGAAAAACAUGAAAAUUAAAAGAUCAACAAUAAUUAUUCAAGGCAUAAUGGUUUACCGUUUGCUUACAUGCCUUUCAGGAGUGGACGCGUAGAUCAACCAUUCAUUCCUGGAUGGACAAUAGAAUCUGCUUGAUUAAGAGUUACCCCGUGCAAUGUCGUACUAAAAGAAACGGCCGUGAAAUCGCUA